CUUUCUUCUUUCCCUUGCUCUUCUCUUUAACCCUCCCUUCCUCCUUGCUUAUUUCUUUCCUUCCUUCAUUUUACUCAGACAUAUUAAGCUAGCUUUGACAUCAUGCUAAUCAUAUCAACUUAAAAAUAACUACUAUAAGUUUGCUUCUAAAUUCUGGACUGAAAUCUGUGAUAAGAUGAAGCUCUGAACUAAGUCAAUAUUUAUUUUAUUUUGUUUUUGUAACAAACACAAAUUCCCAAAUGGCAUUAAACUGCUAAAUAGUAAAUUCCUACUGAAGUGAUAAGCAAAGGAUUUUGACUUCCGCUUUUGUGUAUAGAAGGAGUGACUGACGAAUGCAAAGUAGAAAGAGCAGUGACCGGGAAAGUGCAGGAAGUGAUAGUGAGAAGGCACACUGAGACGCCACUUCCUAUGUGACAGGCAGGGUUUAAACUCAACAUAUACGGAUUAAUUUAAUUGUCACCAUAACACCUUGCUGGAGGUAUUAUUGCUUCUCCAAUUUACAUUCGAGAAAACUGAGGCAUAGAGAUAUUAAGGACACACAGCUACUAAUUGGCAGAGGUAAAGGGUCCACACACAGAAGGAUCAUACUGCGCUGUUUUCUCUCAAUUGAAACUGAAGCAUAAAUUUGCAGCGUGACGGAGGACAGAGUCUUCUGUGAAGCAUUAGGACUGUCUUUUAGUGCCUUCCUUUGAGGGAAAAAAUCCCAAAGGGUUUCAGAAAGCUCCUCUCACCAUAGUAAGGGAGGACAACUCCAGAAGGCAGGAGUGUGGCCAGCCUGAGAAGGUGGCCGUGUGGCACGAUGGAGACUGGUGGAGAGAGUACUUAGAAGAACUGGCGGGACAUCUGCAGCUCUUUCCCAUCCCUGCAAUCUGCUUUGACACCACCAUGUUAACAGCUGAAUCCUUUAUGUGAUAAUUAUACGAACAAAUGACAAAAAAUAUUGCCUUGAGAAGUCACUCGCUGUGCCAUUGGUUGGCCCAUGACUCAGCAGAGAGUCCACAGAUACACAUUUUGGAUGUGCUGCCUGGAGAUGAUGCAAGUGCUGUCAAGUUUCCCAACCUGGAUUUUAUUUCCUUCAUGAUGAGAAAUAGAAGUACAUAAUUUGGCAGAGAGAAAAGUGAUUAUCCUGUUGGUUAAGAGGAAAAUGUUUUAGUGAUAUGAAAAAUAAAAAAUCACUACAAAUUCCA
rnacentral:lncRNA from 1 species